rnacentral:pre_miRNA from 1 species
UUGUUUGUAAAUGCAGCACUAUUAAGAUUCUCAAAUAUUCUGACAUUUAAAAAGCAAUUAAAUGUGAAUCUUGAUGAUGCUGCAUUAGCAAUAAA